rnacentral:rRNA from 1 species
AUACGUAGGUGGCGAGCGUUAUCCGGAAUUACUGGGUGUAAAGGGUGUGUAGGCGGGAAGGCAAGUCGGAUGUGAAAAUUAUGGGCUCAACCCAUAAAGUGCGACCGAAACGGUUUUUCUUGAGGAACGGAGAGGUAAUGAGAAUUCCCGGUGUAGCGGUGAAAUGCGCAGAGAUCGGGAGGAAAACCGGUGGCGAUGGCGUAUUACUGGACGAUAACUGACGGUGAGACACGAAAGCGUUGGGAGCAAACAGGAUUAGAUUCCCUGGUAGUCCACGCCCUAAACGAUGAAUGCUAGGUGUAGGGGAGUCAUCUUCUGUGCCGCAGCUAACGCAAUAAGCAUUCCGCCUGGGGAGUACGGCCGCAAGGUUGAAACUCAAAUGAAUUGACGGGG